rnacentral:lncRNA from 1 species
CACCUAUCUAUUAUGGAUGAUGGAAUAAUGGAUUAUAAUGUGAAGUUUUGAAAAGCGACCACUCACGUCCAAUGCGCAUGCAACUGCGUGAACCGUGACACACCGGUCUGCGCGGCCAGGUUGCAGAUGUGCACACUGGUUGCACCACUAGUUGCGCUGGCUGGUUGCAACCGAUGCAACCUGGCCAUCGCGACGCCACCCGGGUAGUUGACGUGAGCGAUGCUCAGCAGAAACAGAGAGAACAGGCAGUUGGCUGCUAUGUGGCCGGCUGCUCCAACCGCUAGCAGUUUCUGGAAAAAGGAUUUGGAGCGGUUCGACCAUCUGUAACCGACAAACAGCAAUUGACACAUGACGGUGCACCAGCUCAUUUCCACGGAAAAGUUUGGGAUUUUCUAGACAAUCGCUUUCAACUUCGCUGGAUUGGCCGUGCAGGGCCAAUUGCAUGGCCACCUCGCUCACCGGAUUCAACAUCGAUGCAUUUCUUCCUGUGGGGUUUCAUCAAAGGUUUAUAAUCCACCUCCACCAGACAAUCUUAAUGACCUCCGAAAUCGCAUCAUAUUGGGAUCGCUUCGAAUGCACAAGUUACGCCUGAUAUGCUGCUACGAAUGUGGCAAGAAAUCGUUUAUCGGUGUUUGUGACAUGCGCACGCAGCCGCAAUGUUGAGCAGCGGAAACACGUAGACA